CUUUCCAUCCGGAAUUAUCAUGUGUUCGUCUGUCUGCUCCCAGAAGCUGGAAGCUCCGCUAGGCUGGGCAUCACCAGUCUUGCUCAAUCCUGCUAGCCAUGGCAGCUGGUCGAGGGCCCAGCGAUGGAUGAAUGGACGAACCUAGUGUGUGAGUCUGUGAUCCAGACUUCGUCUCUGGGUGCUGGAGGGCUCAAAGGUCUUCGUGGAUGAUUCCAGAACCUGUGUAACCCUGAUCUCACACACAGCAUCCUGCACUCAACUCCAUUAUUCUCCACAGCAGAAAGGCCCAUCACCGACAAAAAAAAUCCACCAGCCUGUUCCCAAGGGCUCAUUUUCCAGCUCUGCUUGGCGCAUCCGAGUGUAUUGUGAGCCAGCACAAAGACCUUGAGGGAGGAAUGCUGCCCAGAGCGCACCCUUCGUAUCCCUGCUUCCCGUUACGUGAAAUUGUGCCGCCUUCCUGCCCACCCUGGCCUGGGCUCUGCUUCUUCUCUCAUGACGAGUGUGUUUAUAGUGGAUGCAACAUGCUGGGCCACACAGGGAAGCUGCAGGGGGUGUCCAAGUUCACAUGUCCUGCAUUCCAGGCAAAUGUUUUUGACAUUGAGCAAUGGAAUGACUCUGCCAGGUUUAGGUCUGUCCGAUUGGAAUGCAACCGAAAAGGAAAGUCCCGGAGUGAUUCAAAUACUCACCUCCCCACAACCCCUGCUUAUAUAUAUAUUUUUUAUUCCUUUUUAAUUUUCCAAUGACCAACUCAGCCCGGCACUCCUACCGACUCUCAGCACUUGUUGGUGCUGAUAAGUGCAACUUCCCAACAGAUAGGAAUGUAAAUCAGAACAUUUUGUUGAGUCAUGUGUACUCAGAGGCUCUUUCCCAAACAUUGCCUCAGACCCAUAAUUGGCAGCUCCCAGGACUCUGCUGGUGACACUGAAUGUCCAGGAAAAGCUCAGUUCAUUUCUCGAAAAAAUGUACUCUCACUCUCUCCAUCUGCCUGGUUGUAAUAUCCUGUUCUUGAGAAAGCCGAACCCCUGGAGGGAGCAGAGGCACAACCGGUUUUGUAGAUAAGUUUGAAAAAUAUGACUAUUGGCCUUUCCCACCCACUCUGGUCUCUUAGCAACAGGACAGCUGAUGGUAUCCACCAGGGGAAGAAAAGCACCGAACAUGUGGGGGAGCCUGUCUGAAUUCUUGCCUGCAGUCUGAUUUAUUUAAACCUUCCUGCAUUCUUGGGAAUGAAGAUCCAGGAGUCACGUCAUGCUAGCAUACCCCUGCCCUUCUUGUGACCUCCAAGAAUGAACAGAGAAGGGGAAAAUCUCAGGACGAGCGGAACACAGUGAGUCUGAAUGAAUCAUCAUGAAGAGGCAUAACUUGUUGGGGCUUCCUAAGACACAGAAAGGAAUCUGGCCAACCUUUCUGUUGAAGCAUUAUGAGAGAGGACCCAUGUCAUGAAGAAAGAUGCUGAGCACGAUGAAUAUGCCAUCUAUGACUUCUUCCAGGUUUCUGAUCCUUCCAGGGACAGGAUCUCAGCCUUUUGGGCUCUUGUCAAGAAACCAAAUUGCUAAAACCAAGCGACUUGUUCCCAGCGGGGGUCAUAGAAAACAACAACAAACAAAAAAAGAACAGGGUUUACAUUUAGAUGACUUGGAGUCAAGCUGCUGUGAGAUACUGGGCUGAGCCUCACUUUUUCCCUCUGCAAAAUGGACAUAACAAGACCGGCUCUUCUGUGUUUGUUCAUUCACCACAGAGAUGGGGAGUAAAACCCAAGAAGCUGCUGGCCAUUGGCUAGAAAUCAAACAAAACAAAGAACUAAUUGGAACUAAGGCUGUACAGAGUGCUAAUCUAUACCAGGCAUGGGAACAGGCAAGAAAAGCCAGGGGCCCAGGCAGCAUAGACGGAGAACAAGAGCAAGGACUGCGUGAAAAGGCCUGGGAGUCACAAAGGAUCCAGGCAAGAACAAGUGGAUGGAUUGGAUUGGAACAUAACAGCAAACAAGCCAAUAUCGAGGACCUAUUGUGUGCAGCUACUGGGCGAAUCACUGUAAGACAAGUGGAGAUGACUGAGAUAUAUUCCCUCUCUCAAAGAAGUGACAUCUCAACGUAGCAUUAGGCGUUUGAAGAUCUUGAUGGAUGGACACACGGGGUGAAAGACAGCAUCAUCACAGGAUGAAGAUAGUGGUUUGGAGACUGUCGAGGAGACCAGGAUGUGGAGAAACAGGGAAAGAUAUAGCUGGAAAGUUGCUUGGGAUCAAACCCAUGAGGAUUCUGAAUGUCCGGCAGAGGAAAUUAGACUUGAUUCUGUAGAUAAUGAUAUGUCAAUCAAGGUGCUUGACAAGGUAAGUGGACAGUAAUUUCUGCUCCGUGGAUCAUCAUCAAGUGUUCUGCCCAGUGAAGAAAGAAGAACUGCAGUAAUUCAAGGUACUGAUUUUGAGUUCCUUGUUCACCUCGAAUUUCUCUUCACUGAUCAGGUCUCUUUACAUAUUAUUUUUAGAACUUUUAAAAUGGCAGCCACAGGAAAACAAUAUCCAAAGCAGAAGAAAAAGGGAACCAAAAUGAAGGGGAAUACCUUCUUCAGCAAAUACUAGCUAUUUACUUUGGGUUUUGUCACUGAUCCCAGGAGAGAAAUGAAUGAAAAUUUACCCAAAAGAAACAUGAGUGUGAAGAGUUAAACCGAAAAAAAAAAGUGCUUUGGACUUUUACUUUAAAAUACACU